rnacentral:lncRNA from 1 species
GAUGACCGCGACUCCCUCGACUCCAACUUCUCCGACGCAGGCAGAUUUUUGCACCAACAAGAUUGGCGCUAGAGGAAGGAGGGCCUGUGCCUUCGUGGUACCAUUGUUCUUAAAGGAGUGCUCAACGGGACCGCCUUCGAUCAUCUUUUCUGACGUCCUCUCUUCCUUUCCCCACUAGAUCUUCGCCCGAUGCCUUUCCGCGAAGCAUCCACACGGCAACCCACAGCCUCUGCGGCCAGAUCUCAGGCUCCAACCUCGCC